rnacentral:rRNA from 1 species
AUUGAACGCUGGCGGCAUGCCUUACACAUGCAAGUCGAACGGCAGCACGGGAGCAAUCCUGGUGGCGAGUGGCGAACGGGUGAGUAAUAUAUCGGAACGUGCCCAGUCGUGGGGGAUAACGUAGCGAAAGCUACGCUAAUACCGCAUACGAUCUAUGGAUGAAAGCGGGGGAUCGCAAGACCUCGCGCGAUUGGAGCGGCCGAUAUCAGAGUAGGUAGUUGGUGAGGUAAAGGCUCACCAAGCCGACGAUCUGUAGCUGGUCUGAGAGGACGACCAGCCACACGGGGACUGAGACACGGCCCAGACUCGUACGGGAGGCAGCAGUGGGGAAUUUUGGACAAUGGGCGCAAGCCUGAUCCAGCAAUGCCGCGUGCAGGAUGAAGGCCUUCGGGUUGUAAACUGCUUUUGUACGGAACGAAACGGCGAGCUCUAAUACAGUUUGCUAAUGACGGUACCGUAAGAAUAAGCACCGGCUAACUACGUGCCAGCAGCCGCCGUAA